CGUUGUACAUUUUCCAUGGGCAAGUGAUUUAUUCUGACGAAAGCAUGCGUCCAUGAUUGAUUUUUUGAAAGAAAAACAAAAACUGCGUGUACAAAAGUAUAUGGUUUUUUAAAUUAGUUUUUAAAUUUAUCCAAAUACCAUGGCGAAAAAACCUGCUCUUGUUCGGACUAUUACCAAAUUUUUCGCGCCAGAAAUUUCACAAAACUACGCAUUAUUUUUAUGAGUAACUUUUAGUACGUACAACAAAAUAUUUAGCGUUAUAAUUUAAAAUAUACACGAGGAUAUUUGGAUUGCAGAGGGCGGUGGAAUUGCCCAAAGCCCAUUCCAGCCCAAGCUGAGCUGACAAACAAGCAGCCCCCCCACCGGCCCACCCCCAAUACUACCCAGAAGGCCAGAACCCAGAAGGGGAAAGCAGCGGUCGUCUUUUGCUCAAAAAAAAAAAAAAGCAGCGGUCGUCUCCUUCCUCGAAAAUUUUGAAUUCCUGAAACGGCAAGAACUCCAUGCCACGGCGACGAAUCUCUCUGUAAGUUCGAUCCCUUCCCCUUUGAUCCACUCUCCGUUUGCAUUCCUCCUCCACGGAUUAUCCUGCGAAGUCCUUACGAAGUUGCUGCUGGUGUUCCUGAACCUCUAUGCAGGCCACCUGCUCGACGGAAUGCGUCGGACAACUACCAAGCACGCGGGGCCGCGCCUCCGCGCCGGCCAGGCGUCCCAGUCCGGCGCCGGGGCAUCUGCCGAACUCGACCGCCUCAGCUCGCUCCCUGACGCGCUCCUGCACCACAUCAUGUCGUCGCUGAAGGCAUGGGACGUGGUGCGCACCUGCGUGCUCGCUCGGCGGUGGCAGCACCUCUGGGCGUCCGCGCCCUGCAUUGACCUCCGCGUGUGCUACUCCCGCCGAGGUAACAACUAGCCAGAAGAGUUCUGCGACUUCGUGCACCACCUCUUCCUCUCCCGCGAUGCGUCGGCACCGGUGGACACGCUAAUCCUGCGGUCGAGCGACGAGGACGCGGAAUACGAUGAGGCCGAUGCCAAAAGGUGGAUCAGCGCUGCUAUCAAGCACAAUGCGCGGGUUAUUCAUCUUGCCGGACAUUGCAGGGAGAUUGCGUUGUUGGAUGGUGUGCGCUUUGUCUCUCGCCACCUCAAGAUCUUGAAGUUGUGUAUGCCUGUCUCAGAGCCGGGAUCCUGCAGCAGCUUUCGUCUAAUUGCACAUCUAUGGAAGAACUGGAUCUGAAGGAUUGCUUGGUGGCAGGUCCUGAGAUUGUGUCUGCCUCUUUGAAGACUUUAAUCUUGCUCAAAUGCACGAUCAAUUGUGACUUAUCCAUUGCUGCUCCGAACCUCAUACUUCUGCGCCUCACUACACCUUACAUCAGAGUUCCAUCUUUUGAGAACUUAGGAUCACUUGUCACAGCCACCAUCAUACUUGAUGACUCUUUCUUGGGUAAUGAUUAUGAACAUAUCAGUGAUGAAAAUGAUUUUGAUGGAACUACUGAUGAUGAUGACGACGACAAUGAUGAUGAUAACGAUGAUGCCAGUUAUAAGGUUCAUGAUGACUCUUCCUUGAGUGAUGAUGAUUUUAGAUACAUCAGUGAUGAUGGUAUUGAUAAGUUUGCAUAUGGACAUGGCUUCCCUAUACAUGGAUCUGGGCGUGGUGGUUACAAGGAUAAUUACAAUUAUGGUAGUGAUAUCGAUAGCGAUGACAAUACCUAUGAAUACAGUGAGAUUGCAAAUGAUCCAAAGUAUGGCUACAAAGGUGAAGGUCAGAAUUCCAGUAAAGGUGGCAACUAUGGUAAAAGCAGUGGAUUUAAUGAUAGGGAGAUUUUAGGAGGCAACCAUAUUCUUCACAGCCUUUCAAGUGCUAGAAGUUUGGAGUUUUUAACUGAUGCUGGAGAGGUAUGGCUAUCACCGCCUUUUGCUGGUCUCUCUUACUUUGAGUAUGUAUAUUUUCCUUGAAAUAGCCAUAACUGCUUUACAGAACCGCUUCUUUCCGGUGUUUGCCAAAAUAAUGUGCAUCCCCCCAAACAGAAAACAGAUGUCCAAUGGGCACAUUUCUUACAUUUUGCUCUGAAGUAACAACACCUGGAUAGAGAAGUACAAUUGACUUACAAAAGAGUCCAAAUCAAGAUAGUAGUGCUAGUUUUAGUUCAGCGUGAAAUAUAGUAGUAUGUGAAUCAAUGGGGUAUUGAAGAGUGUAGCUUUGUGAAAGCAUUAGUCAUCUAAUAUUUGGAUGAUUGUCAUUUUUUUACAGUAGCAAUGGUGUCUUUUCUAAUGGUUACUGCUUACAUCGCUGUAGAAUUAACUAUACCGAGUCUUUACACCAGUCUAAGGCAAUGUCCCUAUACAUUACCAUAGAAGAAAGACGAAUGAUAUUGUACAUAUAGGCACUACUCUUCUGGCAAUACACCAGUAUAUGUUGUUUUCCUUUACUUGUUUGGCGUGGAUAUGCUUGUUUUCUUACCUGUAUGUUAAAUAAACCACCUGUAUGCAGCUGUAUCCAUAAUUUGAAGUUGAUUGAACUUACUAUUGUUCUCUGCUGAGCACUCAUUUGAUGUGCAAUGUGUAGGUGGUUUUGAGUAGGGAAUUGAAAACAUGUCCAACUUUUAGCAACCUGAAGACCCUGUCCCUUGGUGAAUGGUGUAUGGCUGCUGAUUUCAAUGCACUGAUUUUCUUGCUGCAACAUUCACCCAAAAUAGAGAGGCUUUUUCUCCAACUUAAAUUGGUAUGUGUAAUUACAUUUUGGUGUAUGCCACUUCUAUUCUUUUAGUUUUGAGUAUCUGGGCACAUGCUUACAAACAAUUUUAUUCUUUCACAAAAGAACUACGGCACCAGCAAGGCACUGGAAACAGGUAUCAAACUGCAGGAAAGAUCAUUUACUUGCAGUGACCUUCGAAUGGUGAAGAUCAAAUGCUCAAAGGAUGAUGCGAGAGUCCAUAAGUUGGCACAUUUGUUCAGGGCGAAUGGUUUACCCCUUGAGAAAAUUUAUGUCCGUCGGUCUGGGAAUGCUCAUAAGCCAUACAUUCUCUUCGUUUAGCAUUUCAUUUACUUGCUAUAUCUACAUCAGUGAACUGGUUUAUAUCUUCCUAUGCUAUCUGGUGAGUGAUGACAGACGUAAGACUCAUAUCAUAUAAUGUGUUUGAUAUCUUGUCACUUGUUAAAUGAAGUAUUUUAAGUUAUUCAGUUAGCUUAAAGUUCUUCCAUGCAUGCUCCUGGUCCUAAUCUACAGUUCUACACACUCAUCCAUUCCCUGAUAUUUCUACCAGAUCUCCGUGGCCAGAAGUUUAUGAGAGAGCUCGCUAGGCAAGAACUUGAGGACGACUGGAUGUAACAUCCAACUAUCUAGCUUUCAUUUGCUUCUAGUAGAUAUCAAAAGGCGAGGAUCUGGUAAGAAACCAUGAUCUCCACGAAGUACUGAUCGUACCUUGUAAGCUUUUCUCCUUUUGCUUUUGGGUAAAAUGGAUGAUGGAACUGUGUGUGGCUAUCAAAUCGCAGGAAAGUUCUUCAUAGUGGAAUGUGUUGAGACUUUAAACUAGCGGUAUAUCUGAACUGAAUAUGAUUAAUCAUUCAGCAUCCCUUUCCUUCUCCGGAUUUCUUAUGCAUGUUCUUAACUAGCAGUCGAGGGCAUGGACAGACUGCAUCGCCAAAGGGCUUUGGAACAGCUUGUCACGGUGUUUCUUACUCUUUUACACGAUACGUAGAGUUACAUAUCUUGACACCAAAUCCACGAUGGAUGUCCACACAAAGAAUUAAAGAACUGUUAAAAAAUUGAAUCUAAUCUUGCAUCCAACUUUUGGAUAAUUUCGCUAAGAAAAGUCGGAAUUUUCAUUACUCUGCCCUAUUCGUUGGAGUCAAAAUAAGACACGGUAGCACGGCUAACAUUUCUAAAAACCGUAUAUUCGCUGCAGCCUUUAUUUUAACGGGCAGAUUGCAACAAAAAAAGGUACCCGUUCCGUAAUUGUAGCUUCAGUAAAUUUCUACAUUUUGCUUUAUUAUUUUCCAACUCAAAUACUGUAAUAAAAAUUCGGGAAGGCCCAUUCGAGCCCAAAAUGAUCUGACAAGCAACCGCCCCGUAACCUAGCAGGCAAACCGGCGCUCGCCUCCUUCGUCAAUUUUUUUUUUUGGAUUUCUGAGAAGGGGCAACAAAUUCCACGACAUUGCGAGUUUGCGACGAAUCAUCCGGUAAGUUCGAUCGAUUCCUCCCUCUGAUCGACUCUCCUCCACGGAUUUUCUCGAGAAAUCUUGACUAGUUCCCCCUGCGGUGUUCUGAAACCUCUACGCAGGCCGUCUGCUCGACGAAAUGCGCCGGACAAGCACCAAGCACGCGAGGCCGCGCCUCCGCGCCGGCCAGGCGUCCCGCUCCGGCGACCCCGACCGCCUCAGCGCCCUCCCGGACGCGCUCCUGCACCACGUCAUGUCGUUCCUCAAGGCUUGGGACGUGGUGCGCACCUGCGUGCUCGCGCGGCGGUGGAGGCACCUCUGGGCGUCCGGGCCCUGCGUCGACCUCCGCACGCGCUACCGGUACUCCCGCCGAGCCCACGACCCGCCGAGGGAGUUCCGCGACUUCGUGUACCGCUUCUUCCUCUUCCGCGACGUGUCUUCCCGUGGAGACGCUCCGCCUGCGGUCCAGUGACGAGGACGUGGGCUUCGACGAUGACCAUGCCAGCACGUGGAUCAACGUUGCAAUCAAGCGCAAUGCGCGGGUUAUUCAUCUUGCCGGACAUCGCAGGGAGAUGGCGUCGUUGGAGCGUGUUUCCUUCGUCGCCGCCUCCAGAUCUUGAAGUUGUCGUAUGCCAGUCUCGAUGCCAGGAUCCUGCUGCAGCUUUCCUCUAGUUGCACAUCUUUGGAAGAACUGGAUCUGAAAGAUUGCUUUGUGGCGGGCGGUGAGAUUGUGUCUGCCUCUUUGAAGACUUUAAUCUUGCUCAAAUGCAAGAUCAAUUGUGACUUCUCGAUUGCUGCUCCGAACCUCAUACUUCUGUGCGUCACUACACCUUAUGUCCGAGUUCCAUCAUUUCAGAACUUGGGGUCACUUGUCACGGGCACCAUCAUACUUGAUGACUCUUUCUUGGGCUAUGAUUAUGAACACAUCAGUGAUAAAGAUGAUUGUGAUGGAACUACUGAUGACAGA
rnacentral:lncRNA from 1 species